ACGCUGGCGGCGUGCCUAAUACAUGCAAGUCGAACGGCUUUUCUAUGGAAGCUUGCUUCCACUGAGAAGAUAGUGGCGAACGGGUGAGUAGCACGUGGGUAACCUGCCCAUAAGAGGGGGAUAACAUCCGGAAACGGGUGCUAAUACCGCAUAGUUUUUCUUGAUCGCAUGAUUGAGAAAGGAAAGACGGCCUUUGUGCUGUCGCUUAUGGAUGGACCCGCGGCGUAUUAGUUAGUUGGUGAGGUAACGGCUCACCAAGACGAUGAUACGUAGCCGACCUGAGAGGGUGAUCGGCCACAUUGGGACUGAGACGCGGCCCAAACUCCUACGGGAGGCAGCAGUAGGGAAUCUUCCGCAAUGGACGAAAGUCUGACGGAGCAACGCCGCGUGAGUGAAGAAGGUUUUUCCGGAUCGUAAAACUCUGUCGUCAGAGAAGAACAAGUUGGAGAGUAACUGCUCCAGCCUUGACGGUAUCUGACCAGAAAGCCACGGCUAACUACGUGCCAGCAGCAGC
rnacentral:rRNA from 1 species